rnacentral:rRNA from 1 species
CGGGGUGAGUAACGCGUGGGUAACCUGCCUUGUACAGGGGGAUAACAGUUGGAAACGGCUGCUAAUACCGCAUAAGCGCACAGCAUCACAUGAUGCAGUGUGAAAAACUCCGGUGGUAUAAGAUGGACCCGCGUUGGAUUAGCUAGUUGGUGAGGUAACGGCCCACCAAGGCGACGAUCCAUAGCCGACCUGAGAGGGUGACCGGCCACAUUGGGACUGAGACACGGCCCAA